CCUCAUCGCAGGCAAGCCAGCUCCCACAUUUGAGUGGGUUCACAAUCCAAAGUGUGGGAGCUGGCUUGCCUGCGAUAAGG
rnacentral:antisense_RNA from 1 species